rnacentral:rRNA from 1 species
CGAGCGGAAAGGCCCCUUCGGGGGUACUCGAGCGGCGAACGGGUGAGUAACACGUGAGCAACCUGCCCCUGACUCUGGGAUAAGCCCGGGAAACUGGGUCUAAUACCGGAUGUGACCAGCCUCCGCAUGGAGUGCUGGUGGAAAGUUUUUCGGUUGGGGAUGGGCUCGCGGCCUAUCAGCUUGUUGGUGGGGUGAUGGCCUACCAAGGCGACGACGGGUAACCGGCCUGAGAGGGCGACCGGUCACACUGGGACUGAGACACGGCCCAGACUCCUACGGGAGGCAGCAGUGGGGAAUAUUGCGCAAUGGGCGGAAGCCUGACGCAGCGACGCCGCGUGAGGGAUGACGGCCUUCGGGUUGUAAACCUCUUUCAGCAGGGACGAAGCUAACGUGACGGUACCUGCAGAAGAAGCGCCGGCUAACUACGUGCCAGCAGGGGG